AGAGGGUCAGAGAUCUGACGGCUUCCAACGACAAGGUACGACUCCUUUUUCUCCUUUUUUUGUUGUUUCGCAUAAUAAAAAAACAGAAAUGAAAAGAAACGGAGAAGAGAAAAAGAAAAACAAAGAAAAAAAACUACAAAUCACCUUUCAAAUCUUUUUUGAUUUCGAUUCCUCUGAAUAUUUUUUAUUUUUUCUUGUAUUCAAU
rnacentral:lncRNA from 1 species